rnacentral:tRNA from 1 species
UGGAGAUGUAGCUCAGUGGGAAAGUGCUUGCCUAGUAUGUGCGAGGCCCUGGGUUCAAUACCCAGCACUGUAA